rnacentral:rRNA from 1 species
AGAGUUUGAUCAUGGCUCAGGACGAACGCUGGCGGCACGCUUAACACAUGCAAGUCGAACGAGAGAAGAGGAGCUUGCUUUUCUGAUCUAGUGGCUGACGGGUGAGUAACACGUGAGCAAUCUGCCUUUCAGAGGGGGAUACCGAUUGGAAACGAUCGUUAAUACCGCAUAACAUAAUUGAACCGCAUGAUUUGAUUAUCAAAGAUUUAUCGCUGAAAGAUGAGCUCGCGUCUGAUUAGCUAGUUGGUAGGGUAACGGCUUACCAAGGCGACGAUCAGUAGCCGGACUGAGAGGUUGAUCGGCCACAUUGGGACUGAGACACGGCCCAGACUCCUACGGGAGGCAGCAGUGGGGAAUAUUGCACAAUGGAGGAAACUCUGAUGCAGCGAUGCCGCGUGAGGGAAGAAGGUUUUAGGGUUGUAAACCUCUGUCUUCAGGGACGAAAAAAGACGGUACCUGAGGAGGAAGCUCCGGCUAACUACGUGCCAGCAGCCGCGGUAAUACGUAGGGAGCGAGCGUUGUCCGGAAUUACUGGGUGUAAAGGGAGCGUAGGCGGGAUCGCAAGUCAGAUGUGAAAACUAUGGGCUUAACCCAUAAACUGCAUUUGAAACUGUGGUUCUUGAGUGAAGUAGAGGUAAGCGGAAUUCCUAGUGUAGCGGUGAAAUGCGUAGAUAUUAGGAGGAACAUCAGUGGCGAAGGCGGCUUACUGGGCUUUAACUGACGCUGAGGCUCGAAAGCGUGGGGAGCAAACAGGAUUAGAUACCCUGGUAGUCCACGCCGUAAACGAUGAUUACUAGGUGUGGGGGGACUGACCCCUUCCGUGCCGCAGCAAACGCAAUAAGUAAUCCACCUGGGGAGUACGACCGCAAGGUUGAAACUCAAAGGAAUUGACGGGGGCCCGCACAAGCAGUGGAGUAUGUGGAUUAAUUCGAAGCAACGCGAAGAACCUUACCAGGUCUUGACAUCGUAUGCAUAGCUCAGAGAUGAGUGAAAUCUCUUCGGAGACAUAUAGACAGGUGGUGCAUGGUUGUCGUCAGCUCGUGUCGUGAGAUGUUGGGUUAAGUCCCGCAACGAGCGCAACCCUUACUGUUAGUUGCUACGCAAGAGCACUCUAGCAGGACUGCCGUUGACAAAACGGAGGAAGGUGGGGAUGACGUCAAAUCAUCAUGCCCCUUAUGACCUGGGCCUCACACGUACUACAAUGGCUGUCAACAGAGGGAAGCAAAGCCGCGAGGUGGAGCGAACCCCUAAAAGCAGUCUUAGUUCGGAUUGUAGGCUGCAACCCGCCUACAUGAAGUCGGAAUUGCUAGUAAUCGCAGAUCAGCAUGCUGCGGUGAAUACGUUCCCGGGCCUUGUACACACCGCCCGUCACGCCAUGGGAGUCGGUAACACCCGAAGCCUGUAGUCUAACCGCAAGGAGGACGCAGUCGAAGGUGGGAUUGAUGACUGGGGUGAAGUCGUAACAAGGUA